UCCCUGGUGGUCCAGUGGUUAGGAUUCCAUACUCUCACUGUGGAGGGCCCAGGCUCAAUCCCUGGUCAGGGAA